GCAAUGGGCGAAACUGACGCAGCCAUGCCGCGUGAAUGAUGAAGGUCUUANGAUUGUAAAAUUCUUUCACCGGGGACGAUAAUGACGGUACCCGGAGAAGAAGCCCCGGCUAACUUCGUGCCAGCAGCCGCGGUAAUACGAAGGGGGCUAGCGUUGCUCGGAAUUACUGGGCGUAAAGGGAGCGUANGCGGACAUUUAAGUCAGGGGUGAAAUCCCGGGGCUCAACCUCGGAAUUGCCUUUGAUACUGGGUGUCUUGAGUAUGAGAGAGGUGUGUGGAACUCCGAGUGUAGAGGUGAAAUUCGUAGAUAUUCGGAAGAACACCAGUGGCGAAGCGACACACUGGCUCAUUACUGACGCUGAAGCUCGAAAGCGUGGGGAGCAAACAGGAUUAGAUACCCUGGUAGUCCACGCCGUAAACGAUGAUUGCUANUUGUCGGGAUGCAUGCAUUUCGGUGACGCAGCUAACGCAUUAAGCAAUCNUUGUCGGGAUGCAUGCAUUUCGGUGACGCAGCUAACGCAUUAAGCAAUCCGCCUGGGGANUACGGUCGCAAGAUUAAAACUCAAAGGAAUUGAAAGG
rnacentral:rRNA from 1 species